UAGGGAAUCUUCCACAAUGGACGCAAGUCUGAUGGAGCAACGCCGCGUGAGUGAAGAAGGUUUUCGGACCGUAAAGCUCUGUUGUUGGUGAAGAAGGAUAGAGGUAGUAACUGGCCUUUAUUUGACGGUAAUCAACCAGAAAGUCACGGCUAACUACGUGCCAGCAGCCGCGGUAAUACGUAGGUGGCAAGCGUUGUCCGGAUUUAUUGGGCGUAAAGCGAGCGCAGGCGGAAGAAUAAGUCUGAUGUGAAAGUCCUCGGCUUAACCGAGGAAUUGCAUCGGAAACUGUUUUUCUUGAGUGCAGAAGAGGAGAGUAGAACUCCAUGUGUAGCGGUGGAAUGCGUAGAUAUAUGGAAGAAUACCAGUGGCGAAGGCGGCUCUCUGGUCUGCAACUGACGCUGAGGCUCGAAAGCAUGGGUAGCGAACAGGAUUAGAUACCCUGGUAGUCCAUGCCGUAAACGAUGAGUGCUAAGUGUUGGGAGGCUUCCGCCUCUCAGUGCUGCAGCUAACGCAUUAAGCACUCCGCCUGGGGGAGUACGACCGCAAGGUUGAAAC
rnacentral:rRNA from 1 species